UACGAAGGGGGCUAGCGUUGUUCGGAAUUACUGGGCGUAAAGCGCACGUAGGCGGAUACUUAAGUUAGGGGUGAAAUCCCAGAGCUCAACUCUGGAACUGCCUCUAAUACUGGGUAUCUCGAGUUCGAGAGAGGUGAGUGGAAUUCCGAGUGUAGAGGUGAAAUUCGUAGAUAUUCGGAGGAACACCAGUGGCGAAGGCGGCUCACUGGCUCGAUACUGACGGCUGAGGUGCGAAAGCGUGGGGAGCAAACAGGA
rnacentral:rRNA from 1 species